UAAUACAUGCAAGUCGAACGGUAGACGAUUUGUAGCAAUACGAAUGAAAUACAUAGUGGCGAACGGGUGGAGUAACGCGUUGGUGAUCUGCCUCGAAGUGUGGAAUAACUUCCGAAAGGGUAGCUAAUACCGCAUAGUCUCUCAGGGUUUAGAAAACUGAGAGUAAAGGAUUUAUUCGCUUCGAGAGGAGCCUGCGUCCCAUCAGCUAGUUGGUAGGGUAACGGCCUACCAAGGCAAUGACGGGUAGGGGACCUGAGAGGGUGGCCCCCACAAUGGAACUGAAACACGGUCCAUACACCUACGGGUGGCAGCAGUAGGGAAUAUUAGAAAUGGGCGAAAGCCUGAUCUAGCAACACCGCGUGUGCGAUGAAGGCCUUCGGGUCGUAAAGCACUUUUUGGAGGGAAUAGGAAGGAAGGUACCUCCAGAAUAAGUCUCGGCUAACUACGUGCCAGCAGCCGC
rnacentral:rRNA from 1 species